rnacentral:lncRNA from 1 species
GAAAUGCAAGAGUUUUUAUUACUGCUUCAGCUAUAAAUAUAGGAAUUUAACACUUGUCCUUCUGGAUUAGACCAAGAGUCCGUCUCACAGGGAAAGUGGACUGCUCAGAGCUCGGACAAGUAAUUGAUGGUUCCCAGAAAAGGCACACUGCUUUCUGCAGCCCAGCCACCAAGAGGGACAUCUAACUCCAGCCUGCUGUAGGGAAUCAGCGUACCCCUUGAAGAAUGCAACAUGAUGCUGUUUCACACUCUCACAAGACAGUAAAUCACCCAGCAGAAGCUGUGCAUGUUGUAGUUUCAUACAUAAACAUUGCUAACACCCACAGGAAAUCUGUGAACUCAGUUCUUCCAAUCUCAUUUUUAAAUCAAGUCUGACAAACUGGGCUUAAAAAAAGACCCUAAGCUACUAUUUAAAAAAUAAACCCCUAAAAAACCCCAAACAAAACCCCCUUUUUGACUACAAUUUGUACUCUCAGCUCUAACAGGCAAACCUGUCAGAAAUCAGCUGUGCUGGAACUUUAUUCCUAAACCUAGAAUCAAGUGCAUUUUAACUGAACUUGUUUUAGUUCUCUCCUCCCCUAGAUUUCCUCCACCGUCUUUAACCAGGGCAGGUACUGCAGUCCAGAGAGGCUCAUAACUUCAAGUAAAGAGUGUGUGGGACAUGGGGAACUACUGGGGCUGGGGUGCACAGAGUGGUAGGGUGGGUGAAAGGCCACUGAACAGAGCUGUAAAAGCCCUGAGGGUGAUGGGAAAGGAUCCAGUCAGAGACCUGAGCACUGGUACAUCAGACAGAGCUCGGGCAUCUGUGGAAAAGCAGGGCCAAUGUUCAAGAGUUAAAGAGCAAAUGAAAGAGUGGGGAGUGUGAGUGUGGGGAAGGGACUAGAUCUAUCAGUGCUCAUGUAAAGUCCUUUGAAUCUGCUGCAGCCUCCCAAACAGAUGCAGUUUGCUGAUACAUCUCCUACCCAGUAUUUUGGCUACGUACUGCAGUUCAGCCUGGACAGAGCACCUGAUAGCACCUCCCUGGCACAUGCAGACUGCAGAGGUCACUGCCUGGACACUUCCACCCCUACCCACUGCUCACCUCCACUGGCCCAGCAACUGCUUCCAUCCAGAGUGGUGAACCAGAUCAUUCCAUUUACUUUCCUUCCUUCCCUGGCUAGCUAUGGUGAGUAAGGGAACUUGUAACACUGGAAACAGCAGCAACAAGCAGCAGCUUGAAUUUAAUCCUGCCAUUAUCUAUAAUGUCAUGAUGUUGACUGUCCAUUUCAGGGACUUCUCUCAGUGUUGCUUCAGGCAGCCCUACUCUUGAGUCAUCCUUCCCAAAGAAACAGACCUCAGCUAUUCCACCACUGUCAAGAGACUGGGUCCUACUCCAAACUCAGCUUGUUGUCAAAUUCUGUACAAGUCAUUUCACCUCCUGUUUCUCAACUUCUCCAUCUACAAAACUGGAAUAGUGAUUCUGGACUCCCUUGUAAAGUCUGGUACUUAAAAGCCUUACAUGGAAAUUAGGCAUCUCUAUUACUAUCAGAAGCAAUGUGCAGGUGCCAGACGUUUACUCAGAUCUGCCAGCAUGUUUUAAAACGUAACUGCACAGCAACUCUUGUAAGAACACUGAGCUGAAGCACUAUCUUUAUUACAAUGUUUUGACGGUUCCUGGCAGCAUCCAUCAAGUGUCAGGUGCUGUAGAUUCAGGUGGUGUAACAUGUGCACUGAUCCUUCAAUGACAUGUCACUCAGCAGGACUGGGAAACAAAAGCUGCUUUGCUGUUGGAGAUCUGCUCCAGAGCAUCAGGACCCUGGAAUAGAACUGAGUUUGAAAUGUAUAGGUUACUCGUGUCCUGUUAUAUCUGCAAAUCCAUGUGCCAAUACAAAGCAGAGUUUGGACCUAUCAAUCAUCCAAUCUGGUCACACUCUACAUAAAUUUAUUUCCAGGCAAAAAGACCCAACAAAAAAGUGAAGCUCUUUCUCGGUGAAAUGGGUGAUCUGACAUGUUGCGAAGUUGGGUUUUUAAUGAAAUAGCUGGAGCUGUGAACUCUUCAACGAGUCACAUUAGAGAGCAAACUAAAAAGCUUCACACAGUUCCCCAAGGAAAGUGAAACACUUCUACAUGCUCUGUUGAACUUCUGC